CAACGCGGUGGAGCAUGUGGUUUAAUUCGACGAUACGCGAAGAACCUUACCUGGCCUUGACAUACUAAAAAGCUUUAAGAGAUUAGAGUGUGCUAGCUUGCUAGAAUUUAGAUACAGGUGCUGCACGGCUGUCGUCAGCUCGUGUCGUGAGAUGUUGGGUUAAGUCCCGCAACGAGCGCAACCUCGUGUUUAGUUGCUAACAGUUCGGCUGAGAACUCUAAACAGACUGCCUACGCAAGUAGGAGGAAGGUGAGGACGACGUCAAGUCAUCAUGGCCCUUACGGCCAGGGCUACACACGUGCUACAAUGGGGUAUACAAAGAGCAGCGAUACGGUGACGUGGAGCAAAUCUAGAAAAUGCCUCUCAGUUCGGAUUGUAGUCUGCAACUCGACUACAUGAAGUUGGAAUCGCUAGUAAUCGUAGAUCAGCAAUGCUACGGUGAAUACGUUCCCGGGUCUU
rnacentral:rRNA from 1 species